ensembl:snRNA U1 U1 spliceosomal RNA
AUACUUACCUGGCAGGGGAGAUACCAUGAUCACGAAGGUAAUUUUCCCAGGGCGAGGCUUAUCCAUUGCACUCCGGAUGUGCUGACCCCUGCGAUUUCCCCAAAUGUGGGAAACUCGACUGCAUAAUUUGUGGUAGUGGGGGACUGCGUUCGCGCUUUCCCCUG